UGCCUAACCCCGGUAAGCGAUUACCGUGUAUGGCAUAAAAACGUUGGACACAUUAACCCCGUCAUAGGGCGUGUCCAACGUUGCAGGCCGAAAGGUCUGUAUGCAUCGCAAGGUGCA
rfam:Microgenomates bacterium GW2011_GWA1_45_10 TW86_C0007, whole genome shotgun sequence.